rnacentral:rRNA from 1 species
UACGGAGGAUGCAAGCGUUAUCCGGAAUGAUUGGGCGUAAAGCGUCCGCAGGUGGCUGUGUAAGUCUGCUGUUAAAGAGUGAGGCCCAACCUCAUAAAAGCAGUGGAAACUACACGGCUAGAGUGCGUUCGGGGCAGAGGGAAUUCCUGGUGUAGCGGUGAAAUGCGUAGAUAUCAGGAAGAACACCGGUGGCGAAAGCGCUCUGCUAGGCCGCAACUGACACUGAGGGACGAAAGCUAGGGGAGCGAAUGGG